CCUGCAGAAAAGAAAAGAAAAAAAAAAAACACACCUCAGGCUUGUGAGUGCUGACUUGACAGUUGCCUUACUGAGCACGCAUGAGGUAACCGCACGUUUACACUAUGAGUGGCAACGUAGAUGUGAAUUACCACGGACCUGCUGCUGUGAAAACAUGUUUAUUUUAAGAGGGGACCUUUAAAAGCUAAUUCGUCAGCAUCAGCGGCAAAAUGUCAGGUCAGGCAACCAUGAGAAAAACAAGAGGAACACUAACCUACAACAACAGGAAAUCUGCUGAGUGAAAAACAGGCCCCAACCUUAAUGCGACUUGCUCAUUUCCAGUGAAGCAGUGUUUGUGUGUGUGUGUGUGUGUGUUUGUGUGUGUAGCUGGGGCCAUGAAAAAAAACUUGAAUCGAGUCCCCGCACUUCAUAAACAGAAACACUCAGGAGAAUAUUAACAGGGGUGAGAUGUUAAGAAGAGAAACAUCAGGUCAAGCUGUUGUUUCAUUUAUCACACACUCCUUUAUUUCAUUCAUUUGGAGCAUCCUACGAGCGACAGCGCUCAGCAUGUGUGGGAGUGAACCCUGGAAAACCAUUCAUACUCCCACACCAAAACCAAUUUCAACCCGACUAUUUUUAGUUCACUUCAUUCACAUUCCACGGCUCCGUUUGGUUCCUAUGUGGGGCACCACUUCUAGAUACCCGACACAGACUGCAGCAUUUAUUAUUACCAGCUGUUGCCUAGCAACAGAUAAAGGAUCUGAAUUCUGUGGGGGGAAAGAAAGAGAUAAAAGAAGAAGAGUUGGGAAACAAAUUAAGUCGAAUGGAAAAGAUGCCGUCAUUACCUAUUCACCCCAAGGUCACUGAACACUCUGGAAAGAGCUCGUCGUCGUCCUCCUCGGUGUAGCCGUGCAGAUCCUCCAGGUAGGGCACCACCGUCAUACUCCGCCAGGGAUCCCUGCUCUCGGCGCUGGCAGGGAUGGGCACGGGAGGCUCAGACGGAGGAUGUUUCUUACGCACCCAGCUGGAAGGGACAGAAAGUGACAGAUCAGCCUGUAGCUAAGCUUUCUAAAACGCUCACUGCAGCUCAUUCUGUUAAGUGUUCAACAUUAACCGGCGGCCACAGCAGCGAGGGGGGAAAAGCCGACAGCAGACAGACUCAUUCAAGAACUUUAAUUAAUGCAGGUAAUAAUCUCAUUCAUCACUGUGUGUCACAGCAUCCUGCAAAGCUCGAGGGGUCAAUGAGGUACAGUAAGGAAACAUCACUAUGAGUAGCAUAACAGCUGUAGCGAUGUAAUGAAGAUUUUGUCCCUUAAUUAUAAUUAUGUGAGCUGAAUGUGUGGGAAAAGCAGAAUGUCAGCGUGAUAAGGCAGCAGUGAUGCAGCGCCUAUCCACACCUAAUAAUGUAAUUGUCUCCCAGCAGGCAGAGAGGGGCAGCGUGCAGAGUGCUGAUAGUAGUGCUGCGCCUGCUGAAGGACACCUUUUGUGGCACUGGGCUUAUUUUAGACCAUGUAAUUAUGGACUGACUAUCUCUUAGGUGCUGCGUCAUCACACACAGACGUCACACUCUCACACAAAAUGGGGGGGUUGGAGGCCUGGCGAGUUAAACCAGCACCAGAAUGUGGCAGCAUUUUUCUCUAUUUAUGGCGAAACAAUCAAUUCACUGUGACUGAAGUGAGAUAACAGAUAAAACUGUUAAUAAGCUAGAACAGUAAUCACUCAGCAUCACGCAGGCGUUUGAUUAGUCGGUCCAAACAUAAUCUCCCCAACAUUCUCUCUGGAUUUUGCAGCCAUUCAGCCGAUUAUCGGUUUCACUAUAAAAGACUCUCGACUGUUUCUUUUGUUUCUCACGAGUGGCCGAGGCAUUGCAGCAUUCCACUUGGGAGAAGCAAAGCCUGACUAUGAAGUGUUUAGUAUUCUGCUGCUGGCCUCAGAUCAAUGGAAACUACGUCAACAGCUGGAGGGAUUUCUACAGUUUGGAGGAAGCCUCGAAUGCUGAGAAGUCACGGUGACUUUCGAUGUCACAGCACCACCUAGUGGACGCACACGGGAAAGAUCUUUAUGUGGUUUAUUACUGCCCUCACUUCACACACGACCAGUUCCAGCUUUUCUGCCUCCUUUUCUGUCAGGCAACACAAACUAGGAGCAAACGUUUUCACACCAGUCAUUGGAUUAAUACUACACUGCACCGUGAAUCAGUUUGGACUUCACAGGAAAUGAAACGUCUUCAUUGCAGAAUCAGUGUGUAGAUUUUCGAGCAGCGAUUCUUUGAUAAUACUGCAGGGAGGAACAGUGUUCACAGCCACUCCUACGCCACUAUUCAAGACAGGCGCAUCUUUGGUUGAAGACACUCCAUCAAGCAGGAUUGAAGCUGUGAGACUGUAACUACUCACAGUGUUACUCCAGCAGACCAAAUGUCCACUUUAAACCCUGAAAAGGUGUCCAGUCC